AUUUCAAAAAUGUAAAGCCUAACUAUGUGGUAGAAAAGAUAAAACCAUUUUGUGGGAAAAAAUUCAAGCCAGCUGCAGAAAUUUGUAUAAGUAACAAGAAGCUGAAUGUUAAUAGC